rnacentral:tRNA from 1 species
CGGUAUAGCUCAGUUGGUAGAGCACCUGACUUGUAAUCAGGGGGUCCCGAGUUCGA